UCCAGUUCCUUUGAUGGCUGACAAAGUGUCUGUAGUAGACAAGGUCAAAGGCCUUGAUGAGCUUCAGAAAAUAAAGAAACAUUUGGAAGCUGAAGUGAAGGCGCUGAUGGAGGCCAACGAAAAGAUGGCGCAGCAUUUUCAGGACUUUCAGCGCAAAAUAUUGGACUUCUUAGAACAGCUAUAGCGUGAAAAUGCAGAGGGAGUUGCUGCUGUGGACAAAAAGCGUGCAUGGUUCCUUUGAUGGCUGGCAAAUUGUCUGUAGAAGACAAGGUCAAGGGCCUUGAUGAGCUUCAGAAAAUAAAGGAACAUUUGGAAGCUGAAGUGAAGGCUCUGAUGAAGACCAGCAAAAAGAUGGCGCAAGAUUUUCAGGACUUUCAGCGCAACAUGUUGGACUUCUUAGAACAGGUACAGUGGUAAAAUGCAGAGAGAGUUGCUGCUGUAGACAAAAAGCGUGCGUGGGGGUGAAGAUUCGUAGGACCUACCAUUGUCCAGCGGAAAGUGUACUCGUACUGCACAGGUGCGAAAACAUCUGGAAGAACAUCUGUGAUGGUUUACAAAAAUUUUUAAUAUAAAAAUUAAAAUGAAGGCCACAACAUUGUAUAGAUACCGACAUUUAACCACCCAUAAAUUGAAACAUAUAGCAACACUAUGGCAACAAAAACAAAAUGAAAGACUAGCUGUUAACCAAAACAAAUUAAAAAGGCACCUUGUUUUGUCAA